UCCGUAGGUGAACAUGCGGA
rnacentral:rRNA from 1 species